UAGGGAAUCUUCGGCAAUGGACGGAAGUCUGACCGAGCAACGCCGCGUGAGUGAAGAAGGUUUUCGGAUCGUAAAGCUCUGUUGUAAGAGAAGAACGAGUGUGAGAGUGGAAAGUUCACACUGUGACGGUAUCUUACCAGAAAGGGACGGCUAACUACGUGCCAGCAGCCGCGGUAAUACGUAGGUCCCGAGCGUUGUCCGGAUUUAUUGGGCGUAAAGCGAGCGCAGGCGGUUAGAUAAGUCUGAAGUUAAAGGCUGUGGCUUAACCAUAGUACGCUUUGGAAACUGUUUAACUUGAGUGCAAGAGGGGAGAGUGGAAUUCCAUGUGUAGCGGUGAAAUGCGUAGAUAUAUGGAGGAACACCGGUGGCGAAAGCGGCUCUCUGGUCUGUAACUGACGCUGGGGCUCGAAAGCGUGGGGAGCGAACAGGAUUAGAUACCCUGGUAGUCCACGCCGUNNCGAUGAGUGCUAGGUGUUAGGUCCUUUCCGGGACUUAGUGCCGCAGCUAACGCAUUAAGCACUCCGCCUGGGGAGUACGACCGCAAGGNUG
rnacentral:rRNA from 1 species